GAGAAUCUUUAAAACCUUUUAUUUAAAGUCUUUUUAAUGAAGGAUAACUAGAAUUGCUUGCGGAAGCCGCAAAUGAUAGGAGCCAUAUGUAGUUACAAACCCAGAAACAUCCCACCCAGAAGCAGUUCGCAAUAGGAUCGAUGAUUAAUGUUGUCAGGCACUACGAACGUUACAGCUCUUGGCUCCUCUCUUGCAGGAAUCUGCAGAAACGAGAUCUAAUGGGAACAAUACGACGGUAUCGGUGAUUUCAUGGCAUUCUGCAGCUUAAGGAAUAAAAAGUUUUACAAGAAAUAAAAAAAAAAGUUUACAAGUAAUCGCUAUUACAUAAGCUAAUGUAUCACAAUCACUAUUUCUGUCUGCAAACAAGGACCCUGGAGAGUCAAAUUAUAUCACAGGAUGUAAGGCACCUCACAGAACAAGAGAACAAUUUCAGGAAGUUUUAGGAAA
rnacentral:lncRNA from 1 species